rnacentral:rRNA from 1 species
AGAGUUUGAUCCUGGCUCAGGACGAACGCUGGCGGCGUGCUUAACACAUGCAAGUCGAACGGGGCUCGCUACUUCGGUGGUGGGUCUAGUGGCGAACGGGUGAGUAACACGUGGGCAACCUGCCCCCGGCUCUGGGAUAACUCCAAGAAAUUGGGGCUAAUACCGGAUGUGACCGCUGGCCGCAUGGUCUGGUGGUGGAAAGGGUUUCCGGCUGGGGAUGGGCCCGCGGCCUAUCAGCUUGUUGGUGGGGUAGUGGCCUACCAAGGCGACGACGGGUAGCCGGCCUGAGAGGGUGACCGGCCACACUGGGACUGAGACACGGCCCAGACUCCUACGGGAGGCAGCAGUGGGGAAUAUUGCGCAAUGGGCGGAAGCCUGACGCAGCGACGCCGCGUGGGGGAUGACGGCCUUCGGGUUGUAAACCUCUUUCAGCAGGGACGAAGCUCUCGGGUGACGGUACCUGCAGAAGAAGCACCGGCCAACUACGUGCCAGCAGCCGCGGUAAUACGUAGGGUGCAAGCGUUGUCCGGAAUUAUUGGGCGUAAAGAGCUCGUAGGCGGUUUGUCGCGUCGGCUGUGAAAUCCCGGAGCUCAACUCCGGGCCUGCAGUCGAUACGGGCAGACUCGAGUGUUGCAGGGGAGACUGGAAUUCCUGGUGUAGCGGUGAAAUGCGCAGAUAUCAGGAGGAACACCGGUGGCGAAGGCGGGUCUCUGGGCAACAACUGACGCUGAGGAGCGAAAGCGUGGGGAGCGAACAGGAUUAGAUACCCUAGUAGUCC